rnacentral:rRNA from 1 species
GCGCAGCAGUCGAGAAUCCUCCGCAAUACACGAAAGUGUGACGGGGUUACCCAAAGUGUCCAAAUUUGGACUGUGGUAGGUGAGUAAUGUCCCCUACUAGAAAGGAGAGGGCAAGGCUGGUGCCAGCCGCCGCGGUAAAACCAGCUCGUUCAAGUGGUCGGGAUAAUUAUUGGGCCUUAAAGUGUCCGUAGCCGGUUUAGUAAGUUCCUGGUAAAAUCGGGUAGCUUAACUAUCUGUAUGCUAGGAAUACUGCUAUACUAGAGGGCGGGAGAGGUCUGAGGUACUACAGGGGUAGGGGUGAAAUCCUGUAAUCCUUGUAGGACCACCAGUGGCGAAGGCGUCAGACUGGAACGCGCCUGACGGUGAGGGACGAAAGCCAGGGGAGCGAACCGGAUUAGAUACCCCCGU